rnacentral:rRNA from 1 species
AUUGAACGCUGGCGGCAGGCCUAACACAUGCAAGUCGAGCGGAUGAAGGGAGCUUGCUCCUGGAUUCAGCGGCGGACGGGUGAGUAAUGCCUAGGAAUCUGCCUUGUCGUGGGGGAUAACGUCCGGAAACGGGCGCUAAUCCCGCAUACGUCCUGAGGGAGAAAGUGGGGGAUCUUCGGACCUCACGCUAUCAGAUGAGCCUAGGUCGGAUUAGCUAGUUGGUGGGGUAAAGGCCUACCAAGGCGACGAUCCGUAACUGGUCUGAGAGGAUGAUCAGUCACACUGGAACUGAGACACGGUCCAGACUCCUACGGGAGGCAGCAGUGGGGAAUAUUGGACAAUGGGCGAAAGCCUGAUCCAGCCAUGCCGCGUGUGUGAAGAAGGUCUUCGGAUUGUAAAGCACUUUAAGUUGGGAGGAAGGGCAGUAAGUUAAUACCUUGCUGUUUUGACGUUAGCAACAGAAUAAGCACCGGCUAACUUCGUG